rnacentral:rRNA from 1 species
UACGUAGGGCGCAAGCGUUGUCCGGAAUCAUUGGGCGUAAAGCGCUCGUAGGCGGCUUGUCACGUCGGCUGUGAAAGCCCGGGGCUUAACUCCGGGUCUGCAUUCGAUACGGGCAGGCUAGAGUGUGGUAGGGGAGAUCGGAAUUCCUGGUGUAGCGGUGAAAUGCGCAGAUAUCAGGAGGAACACCGAUGGCGAAGGCGGAUCUCUGGGCCAUUACUGACGCUGAGGAGCGAAAGCGUGGGGAGCGAACAGG